rnacentral:lncRNA from 1 species
AUGAAGUUUAUAGACCCAAAGGUUGUGAAUGGAAGCAUUGAGGUUGAGAUUGAAGCAGAAGAUACCAUUUCUGAUAUAAAGUUGUGGGAACCUUCGAUUGUCUUGUAUGCCCUGGGAGGAGAGCUUAUGGGUCAUUAUUGUGACAAACUGAAACCUCCUAUGAAACAAUGGAUGGCCAAACCUAAACCUCCUGAUGAAGCCAAGUUGCCAGUGGAAGCCAAAACAAAUGCAGGCAGUAAGAAUGCAUAA